rnacentral:rRNA from 1 species
GCCCAGUCGUAAACUUUGAUGAUAAAGUACAAAUAUCAUCCGCCAGGGGACUACAAGCGCAUUGCUCGAAACCCAACGGACUUGGCGGUGCCCCACACCCACCUAGAGGAGCCUGUUCUAUAACUGACAAUCCCCGUUCAACCUCACCGCCCCUGGCCUAUUCAGUCUAUAUACCACCGUCGUAAGCUCACCCUGUGAAGGCCCAAUAGUAAGCAAGAUGGGCACACCCCAAAACGUCAGGUCGAGGUGUAGCACAUGAGGCGGGAAGAAAUGGGCUACAUUUUCUGCCCCUACAGAACAUUACGAACAACGCCAUGAAAAUUACCGUUUAAAGGAGGAUUUAGCAGUAAAAAGAAAAUAGAGAGUUCUUUUGAAGCCGGCCCUGGGGCGCGC